rnacentral:rRNA from 1 species
CACGCCGUAAACGAUGGAUACUAGGUGUAGGGGGUAUAGAACCCUUCUGUGCCGGAGCAAACGCAAUAAGUAUCCCGCCUGGGGAGUACGGCCGCAAGGUUGAAACUCAAAGGAAUUGACGGGGGCCCGCACAAGCAGCGGAGCAUGUGGUUUAAUUCGAAGCAACGCGAAGAACCUUACCAGGGCUUGACAUCCCUUGACAGACAUGGAAACAUGUUUUCUCUUCGGAGCAAGGAGACAGGUGG